rnacentral:misc_RNA from 1 species
GAAAUGCGAUAAGUAAUGUGAAUUGCAGAAUUCAGUGAAUCAUCGAAUCUUUGAACGCAUCUUGCGCUCCAUGGUAUUCCUUGGAGCAUGCCUGUUUGAGUAUCAUGAAAUCUUCAAAGUAAAUCUUUUGUUAACUCAAUUGGUUUCUACUUUGGUAUUGGAGGUCUUUGCAGCUUCACACCUGCUCCUCUUUGUUCAUUAGCUGGAUCUCAGUGUUAUGCUUGGUUCCACUCGGCGUGAUAAGUUAUCUAUCGCUGAGGACACUGUAAAAGGUGGCCAAGGUAAAUGCAGAUGAACCGCUUCUAAUAGUCCAUUGACUUGGACAAUACUUUUAUGAUCUGAUCUCAAAUCAGGUAGGACUACCCGCUGAACUUAAGC